AUUUCGUGGAAAUGUGCAGGUUCUGAGAAUUCUUCCUUUCGACGUCCAGUCCCUCGUAGUGGAAACAUAUGUGACUGGGAAUUAAGAAUCUAUAUCAUGAAAAGGAUAUACGAAGACACAGAAAAGUGUUACAACAUGUGACAUAUCUAAUUAUCGUCCAAUGAAACGCAGUACAUUUGCGAUGUGACGAAGUAACCAGAAAAAAUUAAGGUAAUCCUAAGGAUCGUGGAUUUCAACAAUUUGAUUGAAACAAAGCAUUUAAGUGAUCCAUUAAAGUUGCUACAUCAUGAAGGAACCGCAGACUUCCCUGAAAUUGACAUGAAAGUUAGAACUUGCUCGAAUAUGCGUUUAAUGUGCAUUUCACGAAAUGCGCACAUUACAGGAGAAAGUAAUAAUACUUCGCAACAGUACAAAAUAGCAGAUUGUUAAUUCAUCUGAAAGAGUUUUGACAAAAUUCUGUAUUUUCAAGUUCAAGUUACUUUGUUAUUUACUAAAAUUAUUGUAUUUACUCCUCUAUUUUCCUAUUUUUAAGCAGUAAAGACUUCGACUCCAGUUGGAGUUUCAGUAUGUGAAGCAAUGGUAUACUAACGCCACAUGUUUCUUUUUCCUUUUAGUAAUAAAAUUUUUGAAAUUCG